ensembl:lncRNA
AAAAUGCACCUUCUGAUUUAACACACAUGCCGCAUAACCCAAGAGGAUGGCGUGACUGCUGAUGUGCCCUGUGCUGUCACGGCUGCGAGUCCACCUCAGGGCAACCAGGCCUGCUCUUUCUGUAGUGAGCACGCCGCAGCCCCAAUCUCGGGUUCAAUGUGGAGGACGUGGAACAGGGAACAGUGACGGCUCACUAAGCUGCCUGCAGAGUCUGGGAUGUGUGGGCCAAGGAAAGCACCCAGAGCACAGGAGGCUGGCUUCUACCAAGUGGAGGUCUGACUGGGGAAGGGUGGCCUGCUUCUGAGGAUCCAGAGGGCUGACCGAGAAGGCGCGGACGGAAUUCCUGGGCAGAAGGCAACUCGCUACCACGUGAGGAUCACACUUGCGUCUGUGACACACCGAGUGCUGAGUGCUUUGCUCUCAUUCACCCUCGGAGCAGCCCCACCCUCGUCUCUCCUUUAGAAAUGGAAGCCCAGAGAAGCAGGCGGGUGAACUUGAUGCACCCAGAGUGUCCAAAGGUCAGUCUUGACCAGGUGUGCCAGAAUUCUGAGACGGCUCGAGCUUCUAGUCCCCAGUGCACACGCCCUGUGUAAGCUGCUUUCCUCCGGCGUGGGGGGCCUGCGAAUAUGAUGGGCGUCCCUCCUGAGAGUAGCUUAUGUUCUAUGGCAAAGGCAGUGGGAUGUGGCCGAUGUAAUUAAGGUUUCUAUCCAGUUGGCUUUCAACCCAUCUAAAGGCAGAUUGUCCCAGGUGGGCCUGACCUAACCAGGUGAGCCCAGGCCUUCCCGGAAAAAUGAGACUUGAAGAGGUCAAGGAUUCUCCUGCUGGCCUUAAAGAAGUGAACCACCAUGAGCUCCACAGCCGUGAGGAAGUGAACUCUGACAACAACCACAUGAGCCUGGAUGAGAACUUCACACCUCAGGGGAGACCCCAGCCCUGGCCCAAACCCUUGGGCACGGUCGCAUGAGCUGCAGAGCGGAGCAGCCAGUUCAGCGGAGCCUGGACUCCAGCCCCACGGAAACGGUGAGGUAACAAGUGUGUGCUGCUGUCGGCUGUGAGGCUGGUGGUGACUUGUUACAAUGCAAUAGAAAAAGAAGCCACUGGGCCUGUCUGACGCCCAGUCCAUGCUCUCAGGACUGAGAAGAAACUUCCCUUGAGUGGAACUUCCUGCAGGUCGGGCUGUCCCGCGGCGAAGCUGUCUGCAUUGUCCUGUGAUGCACCCUCUGUCGUUGGAGACGGUUCCCAGAACAGGUUUUCCCAGAUUACUCUGCAGUCGGUAGACAAGGCAGGGAUUUUUAAUUGCGGUGUCUGCUCCCUGGCUCCCAUCUUCCUCCCGUGGCUGCAGUCCCAUUGGAGACAUGGCUGCAAUGCCCAGAUGACCCCUCAGGACCAGAAGACCUGCUCCCUCAGCUGAUGGGCAGUUUCCAGGGGUUGCCUCAUCCAAGGUCGUGCCCCACUUCCUGAGGCAACCUGCACGCAGUGGCCAGCCAAUACCGGUGUGCACCGACCAGCCCCUGGCCCCAGCGAGCACCAGCCCUACAGGGCCCUCUCAGCCUCAGAGCUCCCGCGGGUUCAGCCAAGGUCUCGUUGUGACUUCACCCAGCUCAGCGCCUCCCUUCCGACAGGGUGGACCCUGGGGACCCCCCGCUAACUCACCCCCAGCUGGCAAACCGCUCCCGCAGUUGGCUUUCUGGAGAACCCACUGGGCAAGAGCAAAGCUGUCUCGUCUCAGACUCCGGUGCGGGGGAGAAAGUUAGUGUGACAGCACACAGCACACACUGGCCUAGAACCCCUCUCCGAACUCUUUUUCUCUCCGCAGCCUCUCUGGACAUGGUGCCUAAUAAAUAUUUAUUGUUGAUUUUGACUUGUAAGAAAAGCAUAUUUUACUUUCAUUACAGGAAACUCAAAAGAUUAAGGAUUUUUUUGAUCAUCCUUGAGUUCCCCUUAAUAAUCAGUUUG